GAUGAACGCUAGCGGCGGGCCUAAUACAUGCAAGUCGAGGGGUAUAUUUCUUUCGGGAGAUAGAGACCGGCGGACGGGUGCGUAACGCGUAUGCAACUUACCCAUAACUGAGGGAUAGCCCGGGGAAACUCGGAUUAAUACCACAUAGUACUAAAGAAUCGCAUGUGGAAAUAGUUAAAGAUUUAUUGGUUAUGGAUGGGCAUGACGUCUGAUUAGUUAGUUGGUGAGGUAACGGCUCACCAAGGCGAUGAUCAGUAGGGGGUCUGAGAGGAUGAUCCCCCCACACUGGCACUGAGAUACGGGCCAGACUCCUACGGGAGCAGC
rnacentral:rRNA from 1 species